rnacentral:rRNA from 1 species
CGAACGGGUGAGUAAUACAUAAGUAACCUGCCCUAGACAGGGGGAUAACUAUUGGAAACGAUAGCUAAGACCGCAUAGGUACGGACACUGCAUGGUGACCGUAUUAAAAGUGCCUCAAAGCACUGGUAGAGGGUGGACUUAUGGCGCAUUAGCUGGUUGGCGGGGUAACGGCCCACCAAGGCGACGAUGCGUAGCCGACCUGAGAGGGUGACCGGCCACACUGGGACUGAGACACGGCCCAGACUCCUACGGGAGGCAGCAUG